CAGUGCUCAUGUUAUUUCCAAGUGCCCACUGCUAGAAUGAGCAUGCUCCUCAACGUCGUGCUUAACCUGAAGAGACACUGAGAGUUUCUUAGAUUUCUGCUCAAUACUCCAGUGUCAUGGAAGGGAGACCUGACCUGUCAACGGAAGUAUGUCCCAAGCAGAGGCUGUCUAGAUCAUUCCGUGCCUGCAUGAUCUACUUCUUCUUCUGGAAGGGCCUGGAUGAGGGGAUUGGUCUUGAUUAUUGGCACGGUCUUCGCUGGCUCUGACAUCCCCUGGUUUUCUAUGCUUCCAAGGGACCGAAAGGGGAAAUGAAGGUGUUCAACCCUCCGGGACAUUCCAUCACCAGCGAGUCCCCUCUGAGAUGCUGCUUUCCUGGGCUGGGCACUACCUCAAAUCAAGAACACCCUGGGCUCCACACCCAGUAUACAGCCCAACAUGGAACCCGAAACUAAGACCCUGAGAGCAAGACCUGAGCUGAGAUCAAAAGCCCAAUGCUUAGCCAACUGAGCCACUCUGGUACCCUAUUUUGUUAUAUCUUAACUUCAGUAUUGUUAAUAAAUCUAUUUUU